rnacentral:rRNA from 1 species
AGACAGCAGUAGCCGCGGUAAUACGUAGGGGGCGAGCGUUGUCCGAAGUUACUGGGCGUAAAGAGCGCGUAGGCUGGUCUUUAAGUGAGUGGUGAAAGGUUCGGGCUCAACCCGGACACUGCCUUUCAUACUGGGGACCUUGAGUGUGGGAGAGGCGAGUGGAAUGGUCGGUGUAGCGGUGAAAUGCGUAGAUAUCGAUCGGAACACCCAUGGCGAAGGCAGCUCGCUGGCCUAACACUGACGCUGAGGCGCGAAAGCGUGGGGAGCAAACAGGAUUAGAUACCCCCGUAGUCCCUGUCUCUUAUAC